GUCAAUUUCAGGUCGAUAAGUGUGGGGAGACCCCUAACGAUCAUAUCUAAGCCAUAAUUAAGUAUCUCUUACUGAUGCCUACUGAUAUAAAGUUCUUUAACUCUUCCUCUGUGUCUGCAACUUAGGUAAUCAGAGCUUAAAAUCUGCUUUUUUACACACUUCACACGUGAACCACUGUCAGCGGCGUACAAUCUUAUAAUGUGUCUUUAAAUAAUUACCGUAUGUCUCAAAUUCAUUGUAAUUCUACAGUAGUAAGUCUAACAAGUAUUGUUGGACUUGUGACACUGAUGCUGUGUGGGGUGAUGCUGCUCGUGGCGAUCAUCCUGGACAUGCGCAAAAUCAUGUGGAUCCGCAUUAUGACCUCUACGGGUUUGGGCGGUUAUGUGGUGAUACUUUCAGUAAUUAAAAUGCAUUUCGCUCUUCUUGCGAUUGAACGAGACCCAUCUGUAUCGACAACUCAAACAAUCAUAUUGAGCGACGCGGGCAUGCUAGAGGUUUUUACUCUUCUCGGAGCAGGUAAAUUCCCCACACAUCCAUAUGUUAACGGCACCAAUCAUAGGAUAUUUAAGAGAAUAUUUGGAGUAUUUUCGAUAUUUCACAGACAUCUGUAACAUUUCUACCGCUUUAUGCUUUAAAAGUUGAAUAUCCAAUUCCUUCUUUAUGUAUUCUAUGUAUUUAAUGAAAGCUACUGAAAUUGGUUUCAAUAUUAUUAACCAAUUAAAACUAUGGUUUUUUGCUCCAGUCAUGGGAUGUAUGGCGCUAUUAAUUUUCAAUUUCACAAAACAAUUCUCAACGACUAUGCGUUUAGUCAGCCGACAUGAAAAUAUUCAUGGUAGCACUGUCGGCGUGGUUGACACCACAGGUACCCACAGGGGACCCCAGGGCUGGCGCGUCCCUCUCUCAACGUAUUUCCCUUGCGAUACAGAGAGGUAACGCCACCAGUUUCAUGGGGUCCAUGCCGCAGGCGGACCCUUUAGUAGGGGUAUUCUCUUUGUAAUUGGUUUUUGUUUUUGUGGAUAGGUAAAUGGGCAUUCCAUACUAUUUCCUUUAGGCAGUAGGUAAUUCAUAGUAAUAAAUAAAACAACUAUACAGAAUAAGUAAUAGUACUACCGUACAGAAAAGAAACUUCCUACAAAACCGAAGUUUGGCAGCGAUUCAGAUCCCUGUCCCUUUCAGAUCACUAUCCCUUUCGGCUAUUUAGGGUUGUCGAAGUUCAACUCAUUGUCUUAUCUAUGGUUGUGCACCCAAAGGGACGUCAAAUUGUGCUUACCCUAAUAAUUGCUCGUAGCCAUUCUGAGCCGAACGCAGCCGAGAAUGCCCGAUAGGAUCAUUUUCACCCCUCUGCUAGCCUCUCCAAAGGUCGGUCAACUUUAUAGACGAAUUUUCCAGGACAUUGCUAUCACGUACGUGAUUUUUGAAAACUCAUUCUUCGUAUCGUAACAUGUGUCCAGCAUGUUGCCUCUUCUAUUAUCUAUUGUUUUCAACAAAUUUUUCUCCUAUUAUUCGUAAAACAUCUUUGUUGGUUUUCUUUUCAGUCCAACUAAUCUUUGCUAUUUAAGGGCAGCACCACAUCUCAAAUGUUUCCAGCCUUUCCCUAAUCUCCCUAUCACAUUGCUUCAUAUUAGGCUCAUAGUCUAUUUUUCAUAGCUGUGCAGUGCUAUACACCAUACGUACACUUUUUGGAUUAAAAUAUGGACUUAUUUGUGCUAAUAAUUUCUUGAAAUCAUUUAUUCUCGCUGUGUAUUCAUAGUGAUCAAAUCUGUAGGUCUUAAAGUCUUCCAUGCUUGAUUGUUUAUGAUUAGCUCUCGUUUGAUCCAAACUGCUUUAUCCUUCGUCCGAUACGUAUAAUUUUAGUAAAGUCUAUAGACUUCCACAAGCAAAUAUAUUAUAUUAUAUUACUAGCCUAUACUGUGUCCCACUGCUAGGCAAUGGAGGCCUCCUCGAUCUCUAUCCGUCUCGGUUUUGAGCUAACUCCGGCCAGCCGUUGAGAUAUGCGUCCAGGUCAUCCCGCCAUCUCCACCUGGGCCUGCCAGCUCCGCGUCCAUCUUGCGUCAUCCACUCCUUGGCUAUUUUAGCCCACCUCUAGGUGCAUGCGGCAGACAUGACCGGCCCAGUCCCAUUUCAGCUUGGCAAUCUUAGCUCCAACAUCAGUGAUGAUACAAGCAAAUAAUAAAAUAAAAUAUUUUUUGGGCCACUUGCGCUUAAUCUUGAAGUGUAGGUAUUUUUUAUGUUCCCUUUGGCUUUCAAAUAGCUACGAAUCAGUCUAAUAAUACAAUAACUAGUAACGACUAACAAUACUAGGGUAUACGUAAUGCGGUGUCGCGAACGAGUGAUGCAAGUAUAAUAGGGGUUAAUGUCGCUAUAUUAUGCAA